rnacentral:rRNA from 1 species
UACGUAGGUGGCAAGCGUUGUCCGGAUUUAUUGGGCGUAAAGAGCGUGUAGGCGGCCUGAAAGGUCAGCUGUGAAAACUCGAGGCUCAACCUCGAGACGUCGGUUGAAACCAUCUGGCUAGAGUCCGGAAGAGGAGAGUGGAAUUCCCGGUGUAGCGGUGAAAUGCGCAGAUAUCGGGAAGAACACCCGUGGCGAAGGCGGCUCUCUGGGACGGUACUGACGCUGAGACGCGAAAGCGUGGGGAGCGAACAGG